AAGACCCUAGUCUAAUAAAGACAGCUAAUUUCGGCUUAGCUAAUUGUGGUUUAAACCCACAGGGUCUUU
rnacentral:tRNA from 1 species